rnacentral:rRNA from 1 species
GGAGAGUUUGAUCCUGGCUCAGGAUGAACGCUAGCGGCAGGCCUAACACAUGCAAGUCGAGGGGCAUCACGAGGUAGCAAUACUUUGGUGGCGACCGGCGCACGGGUGCGUAACGCGUAUGUAACCUACCUAUAACAGGGGCAUAACACUGAGAAAUUGGUACUAAUUCCCCAUAAUAUUCGGAGAGGCAUCUCUCCGGGUUGAAAACUCCGGUGGUUAUAGAUGGACAUGCGUUGUAUUAGCUAGUUGGUGAGGUAACGGCUCACCAAGGCAACGAUACAUAGGGGGACUGAGAGGUUAACCCCCCACACUGGUACUGAGACACGGACCAGACUCCUACGGGAGGCAGCAGUGAGGAAUAUUGGUCAAUGGACGCAAGUCUGAACCAGCCAUGCCGCGUGCAGGAAGACGGCUCUAUGAGUUGUAAACUGCUUUUGUACGAGGGUAAACUCACCUACGUGUAGGUGACUGAAAGUAUCGUACGAAUAAGGAUCGGCUAACUCCGUGCCAGCAGCCGCGGUAAUACGGAGGAUUCAAGCGUUAUCCGGAUUUAUUGGGUUUAAAGGGUGCGUAGGCGGUUUGAUAAGUUAGAGGUGAAAUCCCGGGGCUUAACUCCGGAACUGCCUCUAAUACUGUUAGACUAGAGAGUAGUUGCGGUAGGCGGAAUGUAUGGUGUAGCGGUGAAAUGCUUAGAGAUCAUACAGAACACCGAUUGCGAAGGCAGCUUACCAAACUAUAUCUGACGUUGAGGCACGAAAGCGUGGGGAGCAAACAGGAUUAGAUACCCUGGUAGUCCACGCAGUAAACGAUGAUAACUCGUUGUCGGCGAUACACAGUCGGUGACUAAGCGAAAGCGAUAAGUUAUCCACCUGGGGAGUACGUUCGCAAGAAUGAAACUCAAAGGAAUUGACGGGGGCCCGCACAAGCGGAGGAACAUGUGGUUUAAUUCGAUGAUACGCGAGGAACCUUACCCGGGCUUGAACUGUAGGCGAACGAUUCAGAGAUGAUGAGGCCCUUCGGGGCGCCUAUGGAGGUGCUGCAUGGUUGUCGUCAGCUCGUGCCGUGAGGUGUCGGCUUAAGUGCCA